rnacentral:rRNA from 1 species
CGAAUGCUGACAUAAGUAACGAUAAAGCGGGUGAAAAGCCCGCUCGCCGGAAGACCAAGGGUUCCUGUCCAACGUUAAUCGGGGCAGGGUGAGUCGACCCCUAAGGCGAGGCCGAAAGGCGUAGUCGAUGGGAAACAGGUUAAUAUUCCUGUACUUGGUGUUACUGCGAAGGGGGGACGGAGAAGGCUAUGUUGGCCGGGCGACGGUUGUCCCGGUUUAAGCGUGUAGGCUGGUUUUCCAGGCAAAUCCGGAAAAUCAAGGCUGAGGCGUGAUGACGAGGCACUACGGUGCUGAAGCAACAAAUGCCCUGCUUCCAGGAAAAGCCUCUAAGCAUCAGGUAACAUCAAAUCGUACCCCAAACCGACACAGGUGGUCAGGUAGAGAAUACCAAGGCGCUUGAGAGAACUCGGGUGAAGGAACUAGGCAAAAUGGUGCCGUAACUUCGGGAGAAGGCACGCUGAUAUGUAGGUGAAGUCCCUCGCGGAUGGAGCUGAAAUCAGUCGAAGAUACCAGCUGGCUGCAACUGUUUAUUAAAAACACAGCACUGUGCAAACACGAAAGUGGACGUAUACGGUGUGACGCCUGCCCGGUGCCGGAAGGUUAAUUGAUGGGGUUAGCGCAAGCGAAGCUCUUGAUCGAAGCCCCGGUAAACGGCGGCCGUAACUAUAACGGUCCUAAGGUAGCGAAAUUCCUUGUCGGGUAAGUUCCGACCUGCACGAAUGGCGUAAUGAUGGCCAGGCUGUCUCCACCCGAGACUCAGUGAAAUUGAACUCGCUGUGAAGAUGCAGUGUACCCGCGGCAAGACGGAAAGACCCCGUGAACCUUUACUAUAGCUUGACACUGAACAUUGAGCCUUGAUGUGUAGGAUAGGUGGGAGGCUUUGAAGUGUGGACGCCAGUCUGCAUGGAGCCGACCUUGAAAUACCACCCUUUAAUGUUUGAUGUUCUAACGUUGACCCGUGAUCCGGGUUGCGGACAGUGUCUGGUGGGUAGUUUGACUGGGGCGGUCUCCUCCUAAAGAGUAACGGAGGAGCACGAAGGUUGGCUAAUCCUGGUCGGACAUCAGGAGGUUAGUGCAAUGGCAUAAGCCAGCUUGACUGCGAGCGUGACGGCGCGAGCAGGUGCGAAAGCAGGUCAUAGUGAUCCGGUGGUUCUGAAUGGAAGGGCCAUCGCUCAACGGAUAAAAGGUACUCCGGGGAUAACAGGCUGAUACCGCCCAAGAGUUCAUAUCGACGGCGGUGUUUGGCACCUCGAUGUCGGCUCAUCACAUCCUGGGGCUGAAGUAGGUCCCAAGGGUAUGGCUGUUCGCCAUUUAAAGUGGUACGCGAGCUGGGUUUAGAACGUCGUGAGACAGUUCGGUCCCUAUCUGCCGUGGGCGCUGGAGAACUGAGGGGGGCUGCUCCUAGUACGAGAGGACCGGAGUGGACGCAUCACUGGUGUUCGGGUUGUCAUGCCAAUGGCACUGCCCGGUAGCUAAAUGCGGAAGAGAUAAGUGCUGAAAGCAUCUAAGCACGAAACUUGCC